AAGGGUAACAUACUUGAGCGUUGACGUUACCUACAGAAGAAGCACUGGCUAACUCUGUGCCAGCAGCCGCGGUAAUACAGAGAGUGCAAGCGUUAAUCGGAAUCACUGGGCGUAAAGCGCGCGUAGGUGGAUAUUUAAGUCGGAUGUGAAAGCCCUAGGCUUAACCUAGGAACUGCACUCGAUACUGGGUAUCUCGAGUAUGGUAGAGGGAAGUGGAAUUUCCGGUGUAGCGGUGAAAUGCGUAGAUAUCGGAAAGAACACCAGUGGCGAAGGCGGCUUCCUGGACCAAUACUGACACUGAGGCGCGAAAGCGUGGGGAGCAAACAGGAUUAGAGACCCUGGUAGUCCACGCUGUCAACGAUGAGAACUAGCUGUUGGAGAGUUUACUUUCUAGUAGCGAAGCUAACGCGUUAAGUUCUCCGCCUGGGGAGUACGGCCGCAAGGUUAAAACUCAAAGAAAUUGACGGGGGCCCGCACAAGCGGUGGAGCAUGUGG
rnacentral:rRNA from 1 species